UACGUAGGCCGCAAGCGUUGUUCGGAAUUACUGGGCGUAAAGAGUGUGUAGGCGGUGUUCUAAGUCUGUCGUGAAAUCUCCCGGCUUAACUGGGAGGGUGCGGCGGAAACUGGAGUGCUAGAGGGUGGGAGAGGAAAGCGGAAUUCCUGGUGUAGCGGUGAAAUGCGUAGAUAUCAGGAGGAACACCUGCGGUGUAGACAGCUUUCUGGACCGCUUCUGACGCUGAGACACGAAAGCGUGGGUAGCAAACAGG
rnacentral:rRNA from 1 species